CACAAGUACUUAUUGUCCCACUCCUCAUCGUCUCCAUGACAACCAUGAGAAAAUGUUUCUCUUCCCACAAUUUUGGAAUGCCAUUUCCAUCUUCUCUUCCUACUCAGUAGUUCCUUUCUGUGUGGCUGUCUAGACAUUGGAGGAUACAACCCUGAGACAAGUAUCAGAGGGGUAGCUGUGUUAGUCUGUAUCCACAAAAACAAUGAGGAGUCUGGUGGCCCCACAAGUCACCAGGAGACAGAGCAAGGUCCUGUUCAAAAAGGCUGUGCACAAACCAGAAGCAUCCUGUUUAGAACUGUGGACACCAGAACUGGAGACAGUAUUUCAGCGUUGGAUUCAACAGCUGCAAUCACAGG